rnacentral:lncRNA from 1 species
CUUGAUCUGCUUGCUGUAAUUGCUAUUUGGUAGCUUCUUCGUCCCUUUGGACCUCAGUAGCCUCUACAGGGGUAAAGGUCUAUUCUUGACUCCUUCAAUACUUGCACAGUGCAUCAUCAAGAUAUGGCCUAAUCAGACUUGAUCUCUCCAACUCCUCCUCCCAGGAUGAGGAAUCAGAUCUUUCGAUACUUGACGUGAGUGACAGAAUCGAGCUUGAUCAAAUAAGGUAUUCCAAGAAUCCCAUUGUAGGAAGAUGGGUUGCUUACGAUCGUGAACGUCUACUUUAAGAAAACUGUGGUGUUUUCAAGUCAAGUGUAAUGUGGUCGAUGGCAGUCGAGGUGUGCCCGUUGAAUUCGGUGAGUAACUCUGCUUGACGUAUGAUUGUGCCUUCCAGGCCUAUCUUUUGAAUGACUGUGAGUUGAAGUAAAUUGACUGCACUUCCAUUAUCGACUAUCAUUUUGUCGACUACAGCAUGGGCUAGUUGGACAGAUACUACUAGUGUGUCAUCAUGUGGAAAAUCGACGCCUUCUGCAUCCUACUCAGGGAAGCCAUUAAUGGGUCCAGGUUGGAUGUCGACUGCUUGGACUUGUGAGACUAGAAUAAUCUGCUGGAUCUUCCUCUUUUUGGAGUUGUUAGUGGCCCCCAAAUGCUUGGACUCGGCGAAGAUGCCAUUGAUUCGAAUCAUCUUGGUUAAUGGCUUU